rnacentral:rRNA from 1 species
CAGAACGACGCUGGCGGCGCGUUUAAGCAUGCAAGUCGAGCGGCAAGGGCCUUCGGGCCCCUAGAGCGGCGGACGGGUGAGUAACACGUGGACAAUCUGCCCCCCGGCCCGGGAUAGCCCAGGGAAACCUGGAUUAAUACCGGAUGAGACGGGACCCGCGAUGGCGGGAUCCGGGAAAGGCGCUGCGGCGCCGCCGGGGGAUGAGUCUGCGUCCCAUUAGCUAGACGGCGGGGUAACGGCCCACCGUGGCGACGAUGGGUAGCCGGCCUGAGAGGGUGGACGGCCACAUUGGAACUGAGACACGGUCCAGACUCCUACGGGAGGCAGCAGCUAAGAAUCUUCCGCAAUGGGCGAAAGCCUGACGGAGCGGAACCGCCGCGUGAACGAAGAAGGCCGUGAGGUUGUAAAGUUCUUUUCGGGAGGGGGAACAACCGUGGCAGGGAAUGGCCGCGGGAUGACGUGAAUCCCGGAAUAAGCCCCGGUUAACUACGUGCCAGCCGCAGC